GCGUUGGUGGGCGCGCCGCGGGCUCUAAAAGCUCGACUGUCGGCCGGGCGCUGUGGCGCACGCCUGUAAUCCCAGCACUUUGGGAGGGCAAGGUGGGUGGAUCAAAGUUCGCGACCAGCCUGACCAACAUGGUGAAACUACGUCUCUACUAAAUUAGCCAGGCGUAGUGGCUCAUGCCUAUAAUCCGAGCUACUUGGGAGGCUGAGACAGGAGACUCGCUUGUACCCGGCAGGCGGAGGUUGCAGUGAGCCAAGAUUGCGCCAUUGCACUCCAGCCUCGGCAACAAGAGCGAAACUCCGUCUCAAAAAAAAAAAAAGCUCAACUGUGGGCCUGCGACCUUCACGCGCCAGCGCUGGAGAGGUGCCAGGCUCCCUGGGGCCGAGACCGGGGCAGAGGACGACACUUCGUCUGGCCGCCUAGCCUCGGCCUCUAAGCUUCCUGCAUCUUCUUCAUCGUAGGUGAUGUUGGACGUGACAGAGGAGGUGACAGGUCACCCUGAGUGCGGGACUCCGUGUCCAGAAGGAAGUGGGCCUCCAGGUGCCACGCCUUUGCUUCUGCUGUGGCAUCUGAUGAGUUCCCUGUUCAUCUCUCCAGGCAUUCCCAGGGCAGUCAGCCCUGAUGCCCAGGGGCUAGGCUUGCAAGACCGCGCAUUAGGUUCGCAGAGCUAGAGUGCAAGGCCAGACCUGGUACCAACAGCAUCUCCGCCUUCGUCCUCAUCUGGUUCCCGCCUCAAACCUGUACCUGUGCGGAGGAGCCUGGAAGAACUAAAACUAUAGUUCCAGCUACUUCAGAGGCUAAGGUGGGAAGAUGGCUUGAAUCCAGGAGGUCGAGGCUGCAGUGAGCUGUGAUCUCACCACUGCACUGAUCUCACCACUGCACUCCAGCCUGGGCAACAAAGCAAAACCCUGUCUCAAAAAAUAAAGUAAAAUGAAAGAAUUCAAAAUAAUUAUGCAGCAAAAUGUUUACUGUAUUUCUAUAAAUUCAAAUAAAACAUGCCAAAUC
rnacentral:lncRNA from 1 species